UUGAACCAAGGGAGGGGAUCAGCUCCAUGAAGAGAGGCCGUGUCCUCCGUGCGGAGGCCGGGGUCACAAGCCUUUAUUAGAGACAGCUGUGGAGGAGACCACAGAGCCCGUGUCGCUUAGGAAAUGCAGACUUUUCCUGGCAAAUGGGAAGCCAUUUAUAGUUCACGGCUUCUCCUGGUGGGUUAAGUACAGUAAAUCCUUAUGAGUAAUGCCAGAGUCAGAGAAUCAAUAAAAACCAAAAUGACCUUCCCUCAGCCUGCCCUCUAAGUAGAAGACUCCCGAGUGACAGACGCCCCCUGGCCACACUGGGAAGGCAGAAUCUGGGGGAAGUGACAGCGAUCACUCCUGCGUUGCUUUCUCCUCUGCCUUACCCACUUUUAAUCAGUUCUGGCAGGGCAGGAGAUUUUUCAGGUGUGUUUCCAAGUUUAAUUUCUAGAACUUUCACACUUCAGAGUGACAUUGGCCAUCACGUGAUGGAUGCAGCACCUUAAAAUUUCUCCAGGGGAGUGGCAGGCAAGACUCAGCUGCACACCGAGACGGUUGUUCUUCAAAACACUGAGCCAGGAGCUGGUGGCGUGUCAAGAAUCGAGGGUCAUUUGGCUGAAGACGCAGGAGACGGCUGUGGGAACAGCACUGCCCUGGGUAAUGUGUCUACCAUUUAAAUGAGAAGAAUCACCUGAGACACUGAUGAAGGAAGACUUUGACUGAAUGUCUGCAAUGAGUUCGUUCCAGUGAGACUCUGCAGUUUUUAAACUGGGAAGUGAUGCACGGCCUAGACAAGACCCAGACAUGGGCUCACGAGAGACCACAGGGCUCAAAAGCGACUGCCUUGAUCAUGGGAAGAAACAUUGAGCCGUCGCCAGCAUCCGUAGGGGCAGGAUGGUCUUUGGGGGCCAUCAGCGUCUGAGAGGAUCAAAGGACAUCUGCGGGCCAGCAGAGCUUGAGCUGGCUCACACCCACUAGCCUCAUAUUUUAACAGCCAUGUACCAAAGCAGUCAUGUUUUCCUGAGAAAGGCAGUUUGGGCUAAUGUUUGGGGACUUGGGAGUUUCAUCAAGGCUGGAGGAAAACAGCAGGGUGCCCUGCCUCUCACUGGGCUCCCAGGCAGCUCAGUCCCUGAAGUUCUGAUGUGUCAAGGCUCAUUUGACCCUCCUCAGGUUCCCACAGCAUCUACUAGUGCUUGCUUCAGAAAGGUCAAUGCUUUAGAACGGUGAUCUCCA